AAGGGUGACGAAGCGACGCCGCGUGUGGGAAGAAGGCCUUCGGGUUGUAAACCACUGUCGGGAGUUAGGAAAUGCAGGUGCGUUAAUAGCGCACUUGCUUGACUAAGGCUCCAGAGGAAGCCACGGCUAACUCUGUGCCAGCAGCCGCGGUAAUACAGAGGCGGCAAGCGUUGUUCGGAAUUAUUGGGCGUAAAGAGCACGUAGGCGGCCUUGCAAGUCAGUUGUGAAAGCCUUCCGCUUAACGGAAGAACGGCAUCUGAUACUACAGGGCUUGAGUACGGGAGGGGAGAGUGGAACUUCUGGUGGAGCGGUGAAAUGCGUAGAUAUCAGAAGGAACGCCGGCGGCGAAAGCGACUCUCUGGUCCGAAACUGACGCUGAGUGUGCGAAAGCUAGGGGAGCAAACGGGAUUAG
rnacentral:rRNA from 1 species